UGGCCCAACCCACCUCUCUGCCCCUCCCCCUCUGUGGCUCAACCAACCUCUCUGCCCCCCUCCCCUUCUGUGGCCCACCCCACCUCUCUGCCCCCCUCCCCUUUCAAUCUGACCCACCCUCUGUAACCAGCUCCCCAAUCCAUCCUCCUUCCCCCAUCCAGCAUCCUUCCCCACCUAGUGAAUGGGCAGCAGAGGCCCCGGAGGCACUUGAGGGAGGUGUGCAUGUGCCAGAGAAGAAUGUUGCAGUUGGAGAUCCCACAACUUUUGCGGGCAUUCUGGCCAGCCUGAAAAGGAAUCUUAAAGCCUUGCUAGCGGAUGUAGAUAAUCUACAGAAAUUUGUUUAAAGUUAAAGAAAAAAAAUUAUUUGUUUAAAAAUAAAAAACAUUUUUUCAAGUUAA